AGAUAUAGUGCCCCAGUGAUUAGUGGAGCCAGUUCACACUGCUUGCAGUCUAGCAGACUUUGCUCCACUAUAUGCAAGUAAGUGGACAAUGUCCCUUCCCCCAUUCCUAGCAGAAACAAUAGGCCCUUGUCCAAUACCUGUUCCCAUUGAAGUCAGUGGAAAGAUUCCUAUCUACUUCAGUGGACUUUGGAUGAAUCACGCCCUUACCUUGUAACUGGAGUGAUUCUGCUGCCUCAGAACUUGAAGUCUUGGAGGCUUUUACAAACAUCAGGAGUUUUCGUUAAGUUUGCAGAAUUCAUGCGGGUUCACAGAACAUGGAAAAAGAGACUGAACACACAGGAGUACUGACACAGAUUGUAAAUUUUUUGAGACAAGGAACAUCUCUCACUGGGAGUUUGCACAGCAGCGGAAUCGAGUAAAUUACUGCUGAAGAAUUUUAGUUGGAAGCACAGCCAUGAACAAGAUGUGUUCAGCACCAUUUCAGAAGCCACAGAUAAAAACUCUAUUGACACUGGGAAAAAAACAACAACCCCACAAUGCUAGCAGCAGGGCAGCAAAACCACUGGUGGCAAUUUUUGCUAAAACUCCUUAAUGGCUUUAAUCCACUUCAGCCCAUUACUAAUAUCAGCUCAGGGGGAAAGGUUGUGGAGGGGA